rnacentral:rRNA from 1 species
AGUGAACGCUGGCGGUAGGCCUAACACAUGCAAGUCGAACGGCAGCACAGUAAGAGCUUGCUCUUACGGGUGGCGAGUGGCGGACGGGUUAGGAAUACAUCGGAAUCUACUUUUUCGUGGGGGAUAACGUAGGGAAACUUACGCUAAUACUGCAUACGACCUACGGGUUAACGCAGGGGAUCUUCAGACCUUGCGUGAUUGUAUGAGCCGAUGUCGGAUUAGCUAGUUGGCGGGGUAAAGGCCCACCAAGGCGACGAUCCGUAGCUGGUCUGAGAGGAUGAUCAGCCACACUGGAACUGAGACACGGUCCAGACUCCUACGGGAGGCAGCAGUGGGGAAUAUUGGACAAUGGGCGCAAGCCUGAUCCAGCCAUACCGCGUGGGUGAAGAAGGCCUUCGGGUUGUAAAGCCCUUUUGUUGGGAAAGAAAAGCAGCAGGUUAAUACCCCGCUGUUCUGACGGUACCCAAAGAAUAAGCACCGGCUAACUUCGUG